ensembl:lncRNA
AAAUAAGUUGGUCUUUUCUGUAAACCUGCAAAUGUCCAACUGAUUCACCAGAUAAGGAAAAUAAAGUUUAUUUGAUUCAGAAUAAUCUCUGGAAAUAAAAAAAAAAAAAUUACUUUCAUGCAUUUUAGAUGAAUUAAUUCUAUGAUCUUUAUGUGUUUAUUCUUUUUUUAGUCAUAUUGCUGAAAAGUUUAUAAGUGGAAACUGUUGCCCAACAGUGUCUGUUUUCACCUCCUAUGAGAAAAGCUUCCUCUUUCUUCUUUCUUUGUUAAAGUGGUGUAGUUUCCUGGUGUGUCAGUAGAGCUGCUGUCUGUGUGAGACUCGAUCUGACUCUCUUCUGCUGGGAUUGGACUCUUCUGAAAACUGGAUUUUAGAGAAAUGAUGCUGAUCUUUGGACUGAUGCUGCUGCUGCAAACUGCUGCAGGUCUGGAGUUGAACUGCAGUUUUGGUCAAUCUGAUCCCUGUUACACAGCUCUGGGAGACAAACUCAAUCUGCUGAUGGAGCGAGACGCUCGAGAAUAUGAGCUGAAGAUACGUAAGAGGAUAUACAACCCACAAGAUGAUCCAGUUUGUAGAGUAAAAUAUGGCAGGAUAAAGGAAUGUGAUCUUUAUCAUAACAGACCUGAGGUGAACAUCAUUAAUGGGAUUGUAAUAAUAAACCGUGUGAUCAGAGCAGAUUCUGGGAAUUACAGAUUAACACUCGUUCACUCAGACGGCACAGAAACAUUUCAAGGAGAUCUUCAAGUAAUUGUUGAAGUUCCUAAUCAAGUCGUUCUGAUCGUUCUGGGAUGUUUCACUGUAAUUCUUAUUAUUCUGGUUGCCAUCUCAUAUUACAUUUACAAGAAGAAGAAUCGGCUCAAAACGACAGCAAAUGUGAAAAACACCUCGAUGGACGCUCAGACAAACAGGAAUGAGAAGAAGGAGCAAGAGCUUCAUUAUGGAGAGAUUACGUUCAGCAGCUCAAACGUUAAACAGCAGCCGAGUAAAACACAAGAGGAAUGUGUGUACGCUCAGGUGCAGAUGAACUAGUGUCAAGACCACCACAGAAACACAUACAGUCAGUGGACUAGUGUGUGUUCAUACUUUACUGUCGUGAAAACACAACAGGCCAGUGUUUGGCCGCUUAUGAAGAAACACUGGUUUUAUUGCACAUUUCUUUCCUGUGUGGUAACAGAAAAACACAGUGUCUGAUGCAGAACAGAAAUAUAAAAGGACGGACACUGGCCGACUGAAGGGAAUCAUUACUUCUGUGAACAACUUGUGCUGACUAAAUAGAUAAUGUGUGCUUUAUUUAAUGUCUUUCUGUGACAUACUACACAAUUAAAAUACACUUUUGUUUUCUGUACCCUUGUGCUGCCUUUUCCUCUACUUUGUCGCCACCCAGUGAGGAACAAAACAAAUAGGGAACUUUUUUACAGACUGAUGACGUGUUUCCAGUUAUUAACAUUGUAAAUCAAGUAAAUAACAAACUAAUAUACUUAUAUAUUUUAUAAUUUUGUAUUAUAUCUUUUAUAGACCUCUACUGCUCAAUAUUAUUUAACUAAAACCAUUGAGAUGGUGUGGACAUGUUCGCAUUCAUUUCAUAAGGUGGGCUUGAAAAACUCGCCUUUUACAGCAGAUUUAGUUUAUAAACAACUGACAGUCUGGACCUAAAUAUGGUUUUCAUUUACAAUAAUAAAUCCUAAAAUUCGGCAUUAGUAACA